GACGAACGCUGGCGGCGUGCCUAAUACAUGCAAGUCGAGCGAAGCGGCGGAUGGGUGAGUAACGCGUGGGUAACCUGCCUUUAAGUCUGGGAUACCAUUUGGAAACAGAUGCUAAUACCGGAUAAUAAAGUAUGGACCUGAGAUGCAUUAGCUAGGUGGUAAGGUAACGUCUUACAAAGGCGAUGAUGCAAAGCCGAGUUGAGUGACUGAUCGGCCACAUUGGGACUGAGACACGGCCCAAACUCCUACGGGAGGCAGCAGUAGGGAAUCGUCCACAAUGGACGAAAGUCUGAUGGAGCAACGCCGCGUGAGUGAAGAAGGUUUUCGGAUCGUAAAGCUAUGUUGUUGGUGAAGCGGUAAUCAACCAGAAAGUCACGGCUAACUACGUGCCAGCAGCCGCGGUAAUUC
rnacentral:rRNA from 1 species